CAGCCUGAUGCAGCCAUGCCGCGUGUGUGAAGAAGGCCUUCGGGUUGUAAAGCACUUUCAGUCGUGAGGAAGGUAGUGUAGUUAAUAGCUGCAUUAUUUGACGUUAGCGACAGAAGAAGCACCGGCUAACUCCGUGCCAGCAGCCGCGGUAAUACGGAGGGUGCGAGCGUUAAUCGGAAUUACUGGGCGUAAAGCGCAUGCAGGUGGUUUGUUAAGUCAGAUGUGAAAGCCCGGGGCUCAACCUCGGAAUAGCAUUUGAAACUGGCAGACUAGAGUACUGUAGAGGGGGGUAGAAUUUCAGGUGUAGCGGUGAAAUGCGUAGAGAUCUGAAGGAAUACCGGUGGCGAAGGCGGCCCCCUGGACAGAUACUGACACUCAGAUGCGAAAGCGUGGGGAGCAAACAGGAUUAGAUACCCUGGUAGUCCACGCCGUAAACGAUGUCUACUUGGAGGUUGUGGCCUUGAGCCGUGGCUUUCGGAGCUAACGCGUUAAGUAGACCGCCUGGGGAGUACGGUCGCAAGAUUAAAACUCAAAUGAAUUGACGGGGGCCCGCACAAGCGGUGGAGCAUGUGGUUUAAUUCGAUGCAACGCGAAGAACCUUACCUACUCUUGACAUCCAGAGAACUUUCCAGAGAUGGAUUGGUGCCUUCGGGAACUCUGAGACAGGUGCUGCAUGGCUGUCGUCAGCUCGUGUUGUGAAAUGUUGGGUUAAGUCCCGCAACGAGCGCAACCCUUAUCCUUGUUUGCCAGCGAGUAAUGUCGGGAACUCCAGGGAGACUGCCGGUGAUAAACCGGAGGAAGGUGGGGACGACGUCAAGUCAUCAUGGCCCUUACGAGUAGGGCUACACACGUGCUACAAUGGCGCAUACAGAGGGCGGCCAACUUGCGAGAGUGAGCGAAUCCCAA
rnacentral:rRNA from 1 species